AAAAGCUUUUUUAAGGGCACACAGAGGAUGCCUUGAUAUGUAGUACCGAAGAAGGACGUGAUAGUCUGCGAUAAGCUUGGGGGAGCUGACAAUGAGUUUUGAUCCCAAGAUUUCCGAAUGGGGCAACCCACUCUGGGUCAUGCCAGAGUACUUCUGCCUGAAUAUAUAGGGUAGAUAGAGGGAACCGCGUGAACUGAAACAUCUUAUUAGCGCGAGGAAGAGAAAGUAAUCAACGAUUCCGUGAGUAGUGGCGAGCGAAAAUGGAAUAGCCCAAACCUUUUAGAUUUUUUGUUCAUCAAUUUUGAUGAUCAAAAUAAGUUGGUAGACGAAUAUCUAUAAGGGGUUGCAAGAUUAUACAAGAUCAAGCAAGAGUUCUUUGUUCUGUAAGGUUCAGAGAGUUCUUGUUUGUGAAGUUUACUGCCAAUUGAACUGUGAUAAAUAGACUUAGUUAAAAGAACAAGCUGGAAAGCUUGGCCGAAGAGAGUGAAAGCCUCGUAUUUGAAAAUUAAGUUUAGAAAUCAUCUGUAUUUUCUUAAGUAGGUCGGGACACGUGAAACCCUGACUGAAUCUAGGAGGACCACCUCCUAAGGCUAAAUAUACUACAUGAUCGAUAGUGAACGAGUACCGUGAGGGAAAGGUGAAAAGAACCCCGGGAGGGGAGUGAAAUAGAACCUGAAACUGUGUGCCUACAAGGAGUCGGAGCGGACUUGUUCCGUGACGGCGUGCUUUUUGUAGAACGAUCCAACGAGUUAUUCUAUAGUGCAGCUUAAGGUGUAUACCGGAGGCACAGCGAAAGCGAGUCUGAAUAGGGCGCAUGUACUAUGGAAUAGACCCGAAACCCGGUGACCUAACCAUGACCAGGCUGAAGUAUCGGUAAAACGAUGCGGAGGGCCGAACCAAUGUAGUGACUGCUUGGAUGAGUUGUGGUUAGCGGUGAAAUGCCAUUCGAACCGGGAGAUAGCUGGUUCUCCUCGAAAUAGCUUUAGGGCUAGCGUCGCGCGGUAGCAAUUGGGGGUAGAGCUCUGAAAAGAACUGAGGCUGGCAACGGUACUCACUCUUACCAAACUACGAAUACCAAUUGUGGAAUCGCGGCAGUUAGAACACGGGGGCUAAGCUCCGUGCUCGAAAGGGAAACAGCCCAGACCAUCGUCUAAGGUCCCUAAAUCAAUACUAAGUGGGAAACGAACUGAGGCUUCUUAAACAGCGAGGAUGUUGGCUUAGAAGCAGCCAUUCAUUUAAAGAGUGCGUAACAGCUCACUCGUCGAGAAGCCUUGGGCGGAAGAUGUAACGGGGCUAAAGUAUUGUACCGAAGACAUGGAUUGCAGUUUUUACUGCAGUGGUAGAGGAGCGUUGAUAGUGCGCUGAAGGUGAACUGUGAGGUUUGCUGGAGAGCUAUCAAGUGAGAAUGUUGGAAUAAGUAACUUCAAGAAAGGUGAGAAUCCUUUCCGCCGAAAGAGUAAGGUUUCCUGGGCAAUGGUAAUCAUCCCAGGGUUAGUCGGGCCUAAGCCGAGGCAGUUUAGCGUAGGCGAUGGACAACGGGUUAAUAUUCCCGUACCGGUAUAAAAUUUUUGAUAAAUUGCGGAGUGGUAGUUUGAGCGGAUUCAUGGUUAUAUCCGUUUAACUAGUUAGAUUUCGAUCGAGCUAGGAGUACGAGUUGUAGGCUUUCGAGCCCGCGACGAGUCAACAAGUCCAUUCUGCCCAGAAAAGUUUAUUAGAUUAUGUUUUAUGCCGCCCGUACCGUAAACCAUUAAAGGUACUCAGGUCGAGUAGACCAAGGCGUACGAGAGAAUCUUGGUUAAGGAACUCGGCAAUAUAGCGACCGUAACUUCGGGAUAAGGUCUGCCUAGCGUAAAAACUAGGUUGCAACAAAAGAGUCCAGGCGACUGUUUAUUUAAAACACAGGUCUCUGCUAACACGAAAGUGGAUGUAUAGGGGCUGACGCCUGCCCAGUGCCGGAAGGUUAAGGGGAUAAGUUAACGCUUUGAACUGAAGCCCCGGUGAACGGCGGCCUUAACUAUUAGGGUCCUAAGGUAGCGAAAUUCCUUGUCGGGUAAGUUCCGACCCGCACGAAUGGC
rnacentral:rRNA from 1 species